GAAUAUUUCUCUCACUCACACACACCUUCACAUGCUCACAUGUUUGUCUUGCCUGAUGCCCCGAUCCCCUUUCUUCUUCCCUUCUUCCAGCCGCUCACUCCAAAAUUGCUGCCAUCGGACGAGCCGUCCCAAUAGUUUGCCCUCUUGAUUUGUUGCCUUGAGCCUGCUCCUCCUCAGCUGUAGGCAUCCCCGCAGCUGAACUCGUUGUCCACAGGCCACAGGGGUGACUGUGUACGGCGGCUUGUCUCCUGGGACGGUAAACAGCGACGGAUGUGUAGCAGGGUCCGAGGAGCAUCUGCGCAAGGGAGGAGGCAAGAUCGUCGAUCUGCACGGUGUCAUUUCCCUGGACGUCCGUGUGGGUGAUGUGGGCGUGGAUCUCGUCUCUCGCAGCCAGCAUGGAUCCAGCUUCACUAUGAGGAUGCUAGCGAUCUUGUCUUCCCCAAGCGCGCAGGCCAUACGCAUCGUCGUUGUUCCCACUCGAGGCAGCCCAACACAUCAUCACCAUCGUCCACAGCGUCAGUAUUCUUCGACCUGCAGAGGAUAUUUGGGCGCUUGCAACUAUUGGAGGAAGAUGUCCAAGCGUCGAUCCCUGGAGGAAGACGAUGUUGAAGGUGGGUUCUGAUGUGCGGCACGUGCUAAACCUGAUUUGAUGCUAGCUUGCACGUCUCACCUUUCCCCGAUUGCUCAAGAUAGCAACCGCCGCUGGUAGUCGUUCUACUCAUUUUGUAUGUACUGCUAUGAAAGAUGCAAGAUCAGUUACUGAAUAGUUACCUUUUUGGAUUGCAAAUUUGAUCCACCUUGUGAGUUAGCAUGUCAAAACUCUUUAGAUGAGCACUGCCUUGAGUAUCAAAGUACUAUUGAUCCAUUGUUUUUAAGGAUGGAGCUCUUGGAUUGGACAUAACAUGUACGCAGAGGGAAUAUUAGGUUGCACGCUAUAUUCCGUGGCA